CAGAGAGAGAGAGCGUGUCACAGUGUUUUCGUUCAGUACACGUUACCUCACACGCACUCUGAAGACACAGCUGCGAGAAAGGGCACCCGUAUCUAUCCGUUGCAUUACUGUUUUCUUUCCGAGAGAGCUCUGCAGACGUGAAAACACCGCGAUUCCUGCCGAAGUGGAACGCUCGCCAGUUAUCACAGUCUUUCCUGGAUUCCCUACAACCUUCUCACCGCAUUUCUCCAUCCUAGGUUUUCUGGAAUGAGCUGUUUUCCUGCUUGCGUCGUUUCCAUGUCAGCAUGGGAACUGCCGUGUCCAAAAGGAAGAAUAUAAGAAACGAUGCGACAUCUUCCGUGGCAGCAAAAGUUAGAGCAGCGCGAGCGUUUGGAGAGUACCUGUCCCACACACACCCUGAGAACCGAAACGGAUCAGCCCAUCUCCUGUCUGACACGUUUGUGGGCCCAGACUCUGUCUCCCCUGGAGGUGUCCGUCACCACCAC